GACGAACGCUGGCGGCGCGCCUAACACAUGCAAGUCGAACGAGCGAGAGAGAGCUUGCUUUCUCGAGCGAGUGGCGAACGGGUGAGUAACGCGUGAGGAGCCUGCCUCAAAGAGGGGGACAACAGUUGGAAACGACUGCUAAUACCGCAUAAGCCCACGGGUCGGCAUCGACCAGAGGGAAAAGGAGCAAUCCGCUUUGAGAUGGCCUCGCGUCCGAUUAGCUGGUUGGUGAGGUAACGGCCCACCAAGGCAACGAUCGGUAGCCGGACUGAGAGGUUGAACGGCCACAUUGGGACUGAGACACGGCCCAGACUCCUACGGGAGGCAGCAGUGGGGAAUAUUGCACAAUGGAGGAAACUCUGAUGCAGCGACGCCGCGUGAGUGAAGAAGUAAUUCGUUAUGUAAAGCUCUAUCAGCAGGGAAGAUAGUGACGGUACCUGACUAAGAAGCUCCGGCUAAAUACGUG
rnacentral:rRNA from 1 species